rnacentral:rRNA from 1 species
GACGAACGCUGGCGGCGUGCCUAAUACAUGCAAGUCGAACGGUCUUUUCUAUGGAAGCUUGCUUCCGCUGAGAAGAUAGUGGCGAACGGGUGAGUAACACGUGGGUAACCUGCCCAUAAGAGGGGGAUAACAUCCGGAAACGGGUGCUAAUACCGCAUAGUUUUCUUGAUCGCAUGAUCGAGAAAGGAAAGACGGCCUUUGUGCUGUCACUUAUGGAUGGACCCGCGGCGUAUUAGUUAGUUGGUGAGGUAACGGCUCACCAAGACGAUGAUACGUAGCCGAGCUGGGAGGAUGAUCGGCCACAUUGGUACGUAGACACUGCCCAAACUCCUACGGGAGGCAGCAGCAGGGAAUCUUCCGCAAUGGACGAAAGUCUGACGGAGCAACGCCGCGUGAGUGAAGAAGGUUUUCGGAUCGUAAAACUCUGUUGUCAGAGAAGAACAAGUCGGAGAGUAACUGCUCCGGCCUUGACGGUAUCUGACCAGAAAGCCACGGCUAACUACGUGCCAGCCGCCGCAGUAACAC